UAGUUAUGAGCGAUAAGCCCACUGCGGGUUGUCCAUGGUGUUCCCUUCCGGAUGGUUGGCAAAGCCAUGGCGCAACAAGCCCACAGGGCGCGUCUCUU
rnacentral:ncRNA from 1 species